rnacentral:rRNA from 2 species
GCAGUCGAACGAGUUCUGAUUAUUGAAAGGUGCUUGCAUCUUGAUUUAAUUUUGAACGAGUGGCGGACGGGUGAGUAACACGUGGGUAACCUGCCCUUAAGUGGGGGAUAACAUUUGGAAACAGAUGCUAAUACCGCAUAAAUCCAAGAACCGCAUGGUUCUUGGCUGAAAGAUGGCGUAAGCUAUCGCUUUUGGAUGGACCCGCGGCGUAUUAGCUAGUUGGUGAGGUAACGGCUCACCAAGGCAAUGAUACGUAGCCGAACUGAGAGGUUGAUCGGCCACAUUGGGACUGAGACACGGCCCAAACUCCUACGGGAGGCAGCAGUAGGGAAUCUUCCACAAUGGACGCAAGUCUGAUGGAGCAACGCCGCGUGAGUGAAGAAGGCUUUCGGGUCGUAAAACUCUGUUGUUGGAGAAGAAUGGUCGGCAGAGUAACUGUUGUCGGCGUGACGGUAUCCAACCAGAAAGCCACGGCUAACUACGUGCCAGCAGCCGCGGUAAUACGUAGGUGGCAAGCGUUAUCCGGAUUUAUUGGGCGUAAAGCGAGCGCAGGCGGUUUUUUAAGUCUGAUGUGAAAGCCCUCGGCUUAACCGAGGAAGUGCAUCGGAAACUGGGAAACUUGAGUGCAGAAGAGGACAGUGGAAC